AGAGUUUGAUCCUGGCUCAGAACGAACGCUGGCGGCAGGCUUAACACAUGCAAGUCGAGCGGGCCCUUCGGGGUCAGCGGCGGACGGGUUAGUAACGCGUGGGAACGUGCCCUUUGGUUCGGAAUAACGCUGGGAAACUAGCGCUAAUACCGGAUACGCCCUUUUGGGGAAAGGCUUGCUGCCGAAGGAUCGGCCCGCGUCUGAUUAGCUAGUUGGUGGGGUAAUGGCCUACCAAGGCGACGAUCAGUAGCUGGUCUGAGAGGAUGAUCAGCCACACUGGGACUGAGACACGGCCCAGACUCCUACGGGAGGCAGCAGUGGGGAAUAUUGGACAAUGGGCGCAAGCCUGAUCCAGCCAUGCCGCGUGAGUGAUGAAGGCCUUAGGGUUGUAAAGCUCUUUUGUCCGGGACGAUAAUGACGGUACCGGAAGAAUAAGCCCCGGCUAACUUCGUGCCAGCAGCCGCGGUAAUACGAAGGGGGCUAGCGUUGCUCGGAAUCACUGGGCGUAAAGGGCGCGUAGGCGGCCAUUCAAGUCGGGGGUGAAAGCCUGUGGCUCAACCACAGAAUUGCCUUCGAUACUGUUUGGCUUGAGUUUGGUAGAGGUUGGUGGAACUGCGAGUGUAGAGGUGAAAUUCGUAGAUAUUCGCAAGAACACCAGUGGCGAAGGCGGCCAACUGGACCAACACUGACGCUGAGGCGCGAAAGCGUGGGGAGCAAACAGGAUUAGAUACCCUAGUAGUCC
rnacentral:rRNA from 1 species